rnacentral:sRNA from 1 species
UUUAUGGUAUAAUAAAAGAGUAGAAAAGUUAAUGACGGUAGCUACAACUUAUCUGAAAGUGUGGUGGUGCAUAUGAAUGUACAAUCAAACUCUAAAGAAAGGAGUAGCAUUUUUGUCUGUUGCAGAAGCAAUCGGCUUAAUGAUAAGUUUCGGCUCUUUGGUCGCAA